AGAUUGAACGCUGGCGGCAUGCCUUACACAUGCAAGUCGAACGGUAGAGUAGCAAUACUUGAGAGUGGCGAACGGGUGAGUAAUAUAUCGGAACGUGCCCAGUCGUGGGGGAUAACGUAGAGAAGUUUACGCUAAUACCGCAUACGAUCUACGGAUGAAAGCGAGGGAUCGACAAGACCUUGCGCGAAUGGAGCGGCCGAUGGCAGAUUAGGUAGUUGGUGAGGUAAAGGACUCACCAAGCCUUCCGAAUCUGCAGCUGGUUCUGAGACGACACGAGCCACACGU
rnacentral:rRNA from 1 species